UCGGGUGUGGUACACGGUGCACCGCUGCAUUCUGUGCGAUGAAGAGCAAGUGAAAGCAGCCAGCCGGGGUUCGACUCCCCGCACCCGAA